GACGAACGCUGGCGGCGUGCCUAAUACAUGCAAGUCGAACGCAGUGGGGACGGGUGAGUAACACGUGGGUAACCUCCCAUCAGAGGGGAUAACACUUGGAAACAGGUGCUAAACCGAUACUGAUGGAUGGACACGCGGUGAAUUAGCUAGUUGGUGUGGUAACGGCUCACCAAGGCCACGAUGCAUAGCCGACCUGAGAGGGUGAUCGACAACCCGCGGACGGAUACACGGCCCAGACUCCUACGGGACGCAGCAUUAGGGUAUCUUCGGCAAUGGCCGCAAGUCUGACCUAGCAAUGCCGCAUGAGUGAAUAAGGUUUUCGGAUCGUAAAACGCUUUUGUUAGAGAAGCGGUAUCUAACCAGAAAGCCACGGCUAACUACGUGCCAGCAGCCGCGGUAAUUC
rnacentral:rRNA from 1 species